rnacentral:rRNA from 1 species
AUUGAACGCUGGCGGCAGGCUUAACACAUGCAAGUCGAGCGAGCGGCGGACGGGUGAGUAAUGUCUGGGAAACUGCCUGAUGGAGGGGGAUAACUACUGGAAACGGUAGCUAAUACCGCAUACCAUCAGAUGUGCCCAGAUGGGAUUAGCUAGUAGGUGGGGAAAAGGCUCACCUAGGCGACGAUCCCUAGCUGGUCUGAGAGGAAGACCAGCCACACUGGAAGUGAGACACGGUCCAGACUCCGACGGGAGGCAGCAGUGGGGAAUAUUGCACAAUGGGAGAAAGCCUGAUGGAGCCAUGCCGCGUGUGUGAAGAAGGCCUUCGGGUUGUAAAGCACUGUCAGCGAGGAGGCGUUACUCGCAGAAGAAGCACCGGCUAACUCCGUGCCAGCAGCCGCGGUAAUAC